UCCGAGUUGACCCCGGCAGUCUCCUAUGAGUCCCCACCAUAACGUGCUGGCAACAUAGGACGAGGGUUGCGCUCGUUGCGGGACUUAACCCAACAUCUCACGACACGAGCUGACGACAGCCAUGCACCACCUGCACACAGGCCACAAGGGAAUACCUAUCUCUAGGCACGUCCUGUGCAUGUCAAACCCAGGUAAGGUUCUUCGCGUUGCAUCGAAUUAAUCCACAUCAUCCACCGCUUGUGCGGGUCCCCGUCAAUUCCUUCGAGUUUUAAUCUUGCGACCGUACUCCCCAGGCGGGGCACUUAAUGCGUUAGCGCCGGCCCUCGGGGGGUCGCUCCCCCAAGCGCCUAGUGCCCAUCGUUUACGGCGUGGACUACC
rnacentral:misc_RNA from 1 species